rnacentral:lncRNA from 1 species
AAGCCAUGCAUCCAACCUUGUUUCAGCGCUGGCAAUGACAAGUUCUAUGACUAGUUGGAUGUUUCUACCGGUGUAGAAGCUAUGCUGGAUGUAUGCAAUAUUUGUGGUGGAUGUCACUCAUCUGAACGUAUAGAUGUUUGGAUACGCUAGUUGUACUGUAAAUUUAUAUUGGCCUAUCAAUAUCUAUAGCAAAAUUAGUUGGACUACAGGGGG